rnacentral:rRNA from 1 species
AUACAGAGGGCGCGAGCGUUAAUCGGAUUUACUGGGCGUAAAGCGCGCGUAGGUGGUUAAUUAAGUCAAAUGUGAAAUCCCCGAGCUUAACUUGGGAAUUGCAUUCGAUACUGGUUAGCUAGAGUAUGGGAGAGGAUGGUAGAAUUCCAGGUGUAGCGGUGAUAUGCUUAGAGAUCUGGAGGAAUACCGAUGGCGAAGGCAGCCAUCUGGCCUAAUACUGACACUGAGGUGCGAAGGCAUGGGGAGCAAACAGGAUUAGAUACCCUGGUAGUCCAUGCCGUAAACGAUGUCUACUAGCCGUUGGGGGAUUUGAUCCUUUAGUGGCGCAGCUAACGCGAUAAGUAGACCGCCUGGGGAGUACGGUCGCAAGACUAAAACUCAAAUGAAUUGACGGGG